CUUCUCACACCUCCCAUUUGUAUUUUUGUAAUUCCCCUAAAGUAUGCUUUUCUAGUUUGUAAUUCUCCCACCUUCCUAGUUUCUCUUACAACCCUUCUCAGUUCUCACCCUUUUUUUUUUCCUUUAUCAUCUUUUCCUGCUUCUCCAGCAUCUUCUUGUCUCAAACGGAUUCAGAUGAAAUUUUAUUUUGUAAUAAUCCAUAACGGCCUCUCUCUUCUGCCCGAAAGGCACUGUCUUUCUCCUCAUCUUCAGCUCAUGCAGAUCUGACAAAAUAAAACAAAGAUAAACAGUGAAGGGAGCAAGGAAGGAGGGGAAGAGGGAUCUGCGUGUGAACCUCGCAAUCUUUUGACCCAUAUCGGCGCCGACACGAUGUCUUUGUACCCAGAUCUGAACUGCAACUUCGAUCUCCGAUUAGCGAUGCCGUAUAGCAGGAUCUGCGAGCGAACCUCACCCACAGCCAUGGAUGGUGAGAUCACGAGCAAGGUGAUUGAGUUGGUGAUAUUUUGGUUUGAGAGCAAUGAAGGUCAUAAUUUUGCAUCACUGUGCAUAGUUCCUUAGGCCUCUUUUUACCGUGAACAUUUGCAAUUCAAGAAGAAGAUGACUGUAUUUUCGACAAAUAAAUCUCUAAAAAUCAUGUGCCGCUCAUUAUA